GCUCAAAAACUAGGUCACUAUGUCAAAUAAUAGAAAUAACGACGUCAUACUCAGUUCAACACUGGGUCUUGUGGGGAUAGGUGAGCGAUUCAGGACCAUCAUGGUCCUCUUGUUUUUAAUAUUGGUUUAUUUAAUAACUUCUGUUACUUUGUGUGUCCCCAAAAAUUGUUUGUUGGGACAUUACGAAUUGCCCUUGUCUGUCCAUUUGCCUCCCAUCCAUCCAUCUCAAUUUGUGAUGUGCAUAUCUCAAAAAGUUUUUGACCCAGAGUCAUUAAACCUCACAUGAUUGUUAUUCAGUAUGCACCUGGUGUUUUCAUUUGUAUCUCACUCAGCCAGACUCGAUAUUUUUAAGCAUCAGGGGUUUUGUUAAAGAUUUCAUUCAACCAGACCAUAGUUUUGUCUCUUGACUUAGUCAAAUAUAUAUGCAUAAAAGACAUACAAGAUUGUGUCGCAUGUUUGUAACAAAGUAUUUUAGUCAUAAAACAUUAGGGGAUUAUUAUAUAGCAUGUGAAGUUGUGCACCUUGUGUUCUGUUUGGGAUCUCACUUAGCCAGACCAGAGUUAUGGUCCUUGACUUUGUGAAAAAUACACAUAAAGUGCUUAAAUGUAUUUUAGAAAAUAUUUCACCUGGAGUCAUGAUACCAUAAAGAAAUGUUCAGCAUGUGGAUUUGUGCAUUGAGUUUGUUUUGGAUUUUAAUCUGCAAGACCAGAGUUAUGGCCCUUGACUAAGUCUAAGAUUUACAUUAAGGGCAUAACAUUUUGUGUCCCAUGUAGCUCAAAAUGUAUUUGAUCUUGAGGCAUGAAACACUAGAGGAAUUGAUAUAUAGCAUGUGAGGUUGUGCACCUGGUGUUCUUUUUGGGCUUUCACUCUGCUGGAAUAGAGUUAGAUCUAUAUGGUUAUUGCCUUGUGAAAAAUAUAUUAUUGCAUAAAGUUCUAUAAAGUGUGUGUUGCAUUGAUCAAAAAAAUCACCUAGAGUCAUGAAACCAUGUACAGUAGCAGGAAGUUGCACCGCCCGUGUCCUAUGGAUUUUCACAGAAAUAAAGUUCUGUUAAAAAAUGUAUACCAUUGGAUAGGUUGUGGAAAAUUCAGUAUACUAAAUGUGUAAUUAUAACUCUCACCUGCAUUUUGUCAGAAUUAUGGCCCUUUUUGUGCUUAGAAAAUCUAAACUAUAACUCUUUUCUUGCAUAUUGUCCAGCACUUGCAGAGAGUGAUGGCACCUGCAGGUGGUGAUUUUGUUAAAGACUAUACUGAAGGGUUUUCAUUUACAAAUGCAAUCAUUUAAACAACAAUUAAAUGAAUGCAGAACUAAAGAACAGUAUCUCUGUCACAAGUCCAUGCAUACAUGUAAUUAGUUUCACCGUUUGUAUACUUCUAGAACAAGCUUCUUGUAUCUGAUGGUUUGACAAAACACCAUUUUGGGGAGCAUCCACUAGUUCCAUUGACUUUCUUCUUUCUCCUUAGAUGAAUGUUUGUCCUAUAGCAUUAUUUCAAUAACAGUGGCAGGUGAACUGGGUAUGAAGUGGUAGUCCGCUCAGUAACAUUGGUAGGUGAACUGGGUAUGAAGUGGCAGUCCGCUCAGUAACAUUGGUAGGUGAACUGGGUAUGAAGUGGCAGUCCGCUCAGUAACAGUGGUAGGUGAACUGGGUAUGAAGUGGUAGUCAGCUCAGUAACAGUGGUAGGUGAACUAGGUAUGAAGUGGUAGUCCGCUCAGUAACAGUGGUAGGUGAACUGGGUAUGAAGUGGUAGUCCGCUCAGUAACAUUGGUAGGUGAACUGGGCAUGAAGUGGUAGUCAGCUCAGUAACAGUGGUAGGUGAACUGGGCAUGAAGUGGUAGUCAGCUCAGUAACAGUGGUAGGUGAACUGGGCAUGAAGUGGUAGUCCGCUCAGUAACAGUGGUAGGUGAACUGGGUAUGAAGUGGUAGUCCGCUCAGUAACAGUGGUAGGUGAACUGGGUAUGAAGUGGUAGUCCGCUCAGUAACAGUGGUAGGUGAACUGGGUAUGAAGUGGUAGUCCGCUCAGUAACAGUGGUAGGUGAACUUGGUAUGAAGUGUUAGUCAGCUCAGUAACAGUGGUAGGUGAACUGGGUAUGAAGUGGUAGUCAGCUCUCUGAGCAGAAAGCCUUGGUCAGAAAUUAAAUGUUCCUGUACCAUAUGAACCAUGCCUGCCAGAGGAAAGGACCAGUAACCUAAGUUCAGUUUAUGGUGGUAUACUAUAUACAGAAACUUUUUAAAAACUCUUUGCAAAAUAAAAGCAAAGAGAUCAUACAACCUAAAAAUUAAUCAUGGAAAAACGAUGUGGCAGUCAUGGUUCUCUUUGUAUAUUUCUCAUUGAAUAUGUUUAAAAAUUUUGAAAAAAAAAAUGCAUUUAGUCAUAUAAUGUCUCAAUAAAUGUAUAUAAAUGCA
rnacentral:lncRNA from 1 species